AAGUCGACGCUGAAGCACCUUCGGGUGUGGAUGAGUGGCGAACGGGUGAGUAACACGUGGGUAACCUGCCCUGUACUUUGGGAUAAGCCCUGGAAACGGGGUCUAAUACCGAAUAUGACUCGCUGAGGCAUCUUGGUGGGUGGAAAGUUUCGGCGGUACAGGAUGGGCCCGCGGCCUAUCAGCUUGUUGGUGGGGUAGUGGCCUACCAAGGCGACGACGGGUAGCCGGCCUGAGAGGGUGACCGGCCACACUGGGACUGAGACACGGCCCAGACUCCUACGGGAGGCAGCAGUGGGGAAUAUUGCACAAUGGGCGGAAGCCUGAUGCAGCGACGCCGCGUGAGGGAUGACGGCCUUCGGGUUGUAAACCUCUUUCGCCAGGGACGAAGCGCAAGUGACGGUACCUGGAGAAGAAGCACCGGCUAACUACGUGCCAGCAGCCGCGGUAAUACGUAGGGUGCAAGCGUUGUCCGGAAUUAUUGGGCGUAAAGAGCUCGUAGGCGGCUUGUCGCGUCUGCUGUGAAAAUCCGGGGCUUAACUCCGGACCUGCAGUGGAUACGGGCAGGCUUGAGUUCGGUAGGGGAGACUGGAAUUCCUGGUGUAGCGGUGAAAUGCGCAGAUAUCAGGAGGAACACCGGUGGCGAAGGCGGGUCUCUGGGCCGAUACUGACGCUGAGGAGCGAAAGCGUGGGGAGCGAACAGGAUUAGAUACCCUGGUAGUCCACGCUGUAAACGUUGGGCGCUAGGUGUGGGCGA
rnacentral:rRNA from 1 species